rnacentral:lncRNA from 1 species
UGAAAUCAACUGGGAACAACAUCUGGAUCUAUAUCGUACUCAAUAGUGCAUUGACAAGAUAAAUUAAUGCACUUCAGAGUUAGAUCAGUUGGACACAUAUCUGGUGGACAUUCAGGGGUAAAUAGGCAUGGAGGAGCAUCUGGGAGGCCUAACAAGAACAAAAUAAAUGUUAAUAUAGGUGAUGGAAUAUUAUAUAUAAGUUAAAUUAUAAAUUUGAAAAUGAUAUGAAACAUUACUCACUUCCAUUGGUUGUGACCAGAAAUAGGGAAACAAAGAUGAGCAAAGCAUAAAAGAAACUUAGGAUUCGAGCCAUAAUUUUUUCUCUUUUGCAUGUGAUAAAUGGAAAAUAUUUUGAUCAAUUUAUAAAGAAAAGGUAAUGCUUUGUUAACUUCAAUGAAAUAGUUUUUAACCCUAGAAGGUGCAAGAAGUCGUUCAAAAAAUUGAAAUAGUUGGUAAAUGUUUCUAUAGAUGUGUCGUGUGUAUCUCUUUGCAAGCUCAGUUAGUCACUUAAUUUUAGUAAAUAUAUCAUAUAAGAAUCUUAAUAAUAAUCAAAGUUCAUUAAUUUUUUUCAUUAAACUUUUAAUAAAAUUUUUUUAUUUCUCUUUUAGCUUUUUAUGGUAGAUAAGAGACACAUAAAUCUUUUGGUGGAAAUAAAAAUGUAAAGAAAUAGACAGAUAUAAAAAUUUAAACACUAGUGACGAAUGACGCAAAACUUCAUAAACAGGGUUUUAUCAGCCAAAUUCGCAAAAAAAAAUUGGGUCGUUCUAAGCAAAUUCACAAUAAUCAAAGCAAAUAUGAUUACACUAGGUGAGAUUGAUGGUUAUAAUUGUGAUUCUUUAAAAAUUAAAGCAAAAAUAACAGUCACAGGAAAGAGGGUUACAAUUGUCACUCUUUAAAAAUUGGAUCUUGCACUUUGUUAAAAUAUUUCUCAAUAUAAAACAAUACGCUUAGGUGUAUGUGUAGUUUGAUUUGCAAGAGCAAAGAGUAUACUUGAAGAAAUAACACACAAAAAUUAUGAUGGUUAUUUAAUGUGGGCUAGUUUUUUGUUGUACAAGGCUAAAACAGAUAAGAAAAUUUCUGCCACAUCAUUUUGGAGGAGAUUUUUGAGGUUCAUUAGAGGAGACUCAUGUCGAAGAAAUUCAACAUCAGAAGAGGCACGAAGCUUUGCAAAAAAAUCUGCACAUUGAUUCUCUUCCCUAAGGGUGUGAUUAACCAUAACAUUUCCCUGCUCCAAUAACACUUUUAUAUCUUGGAUUAAAACAGAAUAAGCAUGAAACCUCAUUGGGGGGACCAUUGAGGAUGUUGAUACAAUGUAAAGCAUCAGAGUAGCAAACAAAAUCAAGAAUACCCAUAUAUUUGGCCAACAAGAGACCUUUAUAGAUAGCAUAGAGCUCAUCAUACAAGAUCAGAUGAAUUUUGAAUGUAUCCAGAAAAGCCUAACAAGAAAAAACCUGCAUAGUUUCUUAAAAUUCCUCCAUAGCCAGCUCUUACUGGAGAUCCAAGACAACUUCCAUCAACAUUAAGGUUGACACAAGAAUGAUUAUUGUUGGUCCACUUGAUGAAUUGUCUUCAUAGAUAGUAUUAGAGAUGGAAGUAUAACAAGCUUUGAGGGUAUCAACCAUGCCUUGAAUGUUGAAGGAUAAUUUAGCAUUUGACCAAUUCUCAUUGCCUAAGCACAUCAUGUUUCGAUUCCUCCAAGCCCACCAUAAUAUGGGCUAGUAUAGUCUUCGCAACUGUGAGAUUUCACUAUAGUAUUUAGAUAGAUGUUUUUUCUAUCAUGUGCAAUAGACAAUAAUUACAUCAAAGUUUCACCGGAAAUGAUACUGACAGCAAAACGGUUAACCAAUACCCAAACAACAAAAGGGGUUAUGGCACCAAUCAUGAAAAUUAUAAUAAAAUGUAACAGAAUAAGCUUUAGACAUGAGAAGAAAAGUAGCUUGAUAUUUUCCAAAAGCUGAGAUGGAGUGCUUUUUUUUUUUUUUUUUGCACGGAAAAUUCUAGCGUUCCCUUCCUUCCAAAUUAGUCAAGUGCUUGCAAACUUAAGUACAUAAAGGAGCACCGAGCUUUAGAGAUACCUGAAGAAAUAUUGAUCUGAAGAUAAUGAGCUGAUAUGGUUAAAGGGUUAACCGAAGAAACACCUAACCAAAGAUGAACCAACUGCCAAACCUGACCAAAUACUUCGCAAUGCAAGAAUAACUGAUCCGCUGAUUCAAUAUUUCCACAACCAGAGACACAAACUGAGCAUCUUCCUGAAUAAUCCUUCUCCGAUAUAAAUUGUCCUUCAUAGGCACUCUAUCACGGAGAAGCCGCCAAGCAAAGACUGAAACUUUAAGCAGGACAUUUUACCUCCAGAUGCUAGGCGCAGAAGCUGAUGUAGCAGAAGGCAUGGUUGCAAACUCAGCCAACAGAGAAUGGUAAACACCACGCACCGUAUAACUUGCUACUAAAUCAGGAAUCCAAUACAAGACAUCAUUAAUAUUAACCUGCAACACAACAAUUAGUAACAACAAUGUACACUCCACUAACUGCUCCUCCUCCCAGGCCCUCAAUCCCCUUCUCCACUUCCACGCCUCCCCUCCCUCGUCCCACCCCAGCUGGAACAUUUGCGCAGCAAUUAAAAAUUUAUUUUCAGACAAAUCAAAUAACCGAUGAAAACGAACCUGCAAGGGAACCUCACCUACCCACCUAUCAAACCAAAAUAAAGUACCUGCACAAUUUCCGACCUUUAAACAAACAUUAGAAAACCAAGUACCCACCAUCGAACCAACACCAUCCCGCAUAUUAGCAAUUUCCUUCCACCACGUCGACCCAUCCCUUCCGCCUGCCUGAACUCGGCCCUCCACUAGCCCAUACCUAGCGGCGAAGACAUUAUAUCAUAAGCCAUGUGAAGGUGAAAAACACAAGAAGGGGGGGGGGGUUGAAUUGUGUUUUCUUUUUCUCUUAAAAAGGGAUUCUUCUUCUGAUAAAACUUCAGAAGCAGUUUGAUUGCUUCUGAUGAAAUGAUCAGAGUCAGAUUGCAGCGGAAAAGAACAGAGCAGAGAAAAGAAAGACAAAGACACAAGCAGUUAUCCUGGUUCCUUCCACAACACGGAAGUAGUCCAGUCCCCCUUGCACUUCCAAGGAGAUUUCACUAUAAUCACAAAGAUUACAACUGCUCAAUACUUUCUAAGUAUGAGACUUCACAAAAAUGCUCAAGCACACACGCAAGAGUCUUCCAAUGCUCAAGCACUAAGCAAGAGACUUCUAAUGCUCAAGCACGCAGGCAAGAGACUUCUAAUCAAACAAAAAUACAGAGAAUUGAGUUUGAAUUGAACACUUGAUAUACAAUCAGUGGUGUUCACAAUGCAAUACAGAAAAGACUCUAGACUUUGAAUUUCUAAGAUGUAUCAAAUCAGUGCAGAAAUUCAGUGUGCUUUGUAGAAUCAAAUUGACAGAGUUUUGGCGCUUUUGAACUUAUGUAUCUCUCUCUGUUAUCUUCAAGUCUUCACUCCUUUAUAUAGAGGCGUGAAAGAGACGUUGAGAUAAUCAGCACGUCUAAAGAGUCGUUUGAAAUCCUUUGAUUAUCCACCAGUGAUCCUUUGCCUGAUUUGGGUGUAGUCCUUUGAAGAAUAAACUUCAAAUUCAUUCCCAUCUUGAGUGUACAAUUCUGCAGGCAUGGCUGUUGUUUUGUCUUGUAGCGUAGACAGAAAACAGAGUAGUGGAGGUAGUGGUUGUACACUUGUACUUUGUCAACUCUAUUAACGAGAGACAAGAGCUCAGUGCUAUCCAUAUAUCCGUUGAUACCUCCCUUUCAAUUCUUCGUUCUUCUUUGAUAAGACUGAAUUGAAAAUCAGCUACUUUGAAUCUUCAGUUUGAUUAAAGGAUCAAAUGUAGCUUCUGGUGAAGAUAUUGCUUCUGAUGAAAACUUUUGCUUCUGAUGACUUUCUGCUUCUGAUGACGUCAUCUCUUCAGGAGCAGUUUAGCUUCAGGAGCAGUUUUCUUCAGAUGCUCAGAAUUUCUUUUUCUUUCCAUUGUUCUUCCAAGACCUAUUGAAAUAACUUGAGUAGCCUUUGGUCCUGUACACUUGAACAAUUAUUAGUAAUAACCAAUUGACAAUUUUUAAUACCUUGUUAUCAUCAAAACUUAAUAAGGUUCAUUGUGAAACACAUUUUGUUCCAACAAUCUCCCCCUUUUUGAUGAUGACAAACAAUAGUAUUUAAAAUGUUCAAUUGUUGUUGAUCUAAUUAAUAAGUUGACUACUGGGACAGAGGUUUGUAAGCUCCCCCUGAGUCUAAUAGAUCUUUAAGGUGAGGUUUGUAAGCUCCCCCUAAGUUCUAUUCUUAUUAAUUAAAUUUCAAUAAAAUACUUAUAAAAUCAAAUCAGAAGUAUUUAAAAGAAAUUUAGAGUAGGGCUCAGUGCCUUAAAAAAUACUAUACAUUUACUCCCCCUUUUGUCAUCAACAAAAAGAAUAGAAACAAAAGAAAGAGUAUCAGAGCAAACAGCAUUAAAAACAGUAAAUAUCAUCAGAGUUAAAGCUUGUAAAACAUAUUGAAGGUGAAAAAGCACAAGAUCCAGAAACAAUGAUAAUAUAUAUAAAGAAAGAUUAAGAUACAAAGACACAGCUACUAAGAACAAAAGUAAAAAACAAGCUAGAGUUGGGUGUGCAACUAAGGUUGGGCUUGCUUAUACAACUGUUCUAAGAGAUACUUGAUCUGAUCAUCCUUCUUCUGAAGUAGCUCAUCCUUUUCCCUCAUUCUUCGUUUAUAUCCAGCCUGAAUUCUAGCAGCCCUAGUGAUGUACUCUUCUUCUGGAUAGAAAGGAGUGAUGUCCAGCAGAGGCACAAAGUUCAGCUCUUUCUCCUUAGCUGCUUCAUGCAUGUCAUCCAAAAGCUUCUUCAGCAUAGCAGAGUGAGAUGACACACAUUUAGUUCUAAGCUGAUCCAGCAGCUCAUCAAAGCUCUUCUGAAGAUCCAUCCACUGAUCAUAAUAGUGAAUAGGAGGUGCAGGAACUGUUCUGCGAAGAAUCAGUGCCUGAAUCUCAUCACUAAGUCUAAUCAGCUGUUCCUCUAUAUACUCAGACUCCAGGAUAUGGUCAGGGAUGGGUGAAGGUUCAGUUUGAGUUGUAUUUGAUGUGGAAGGUUGGUCAGAGGUUAAGUCUAUUAUAGUGGGUGAGUCUGGUUGUUGUUGUUGUUCUGUUGUUUGGUCAGAAGCUGUUUGGUCAGGAGCAACUUGUUCAGAAGCAGUUUGCUCCUGAACAGUUUGCUCAGGGAUGGUUUGGGUUUCUGUUUGGGUUUCCAAGACAGUCUUUUCAGAAACUGUCUUAGAGGCCUUAGUGGGUGUUGGUUGCAUUUCACCACCUAGAUGUUUUUCUAAGUUGUGAAGGGUUGAGGAUUCUUGGUGUUGGGGGGUUUCUGAAGUAGUUGCAUCUGAAGCUACUUCAGAGGCUUUUUGUGGAGUUUGGUUAUUUGGUGAGUUUGUUUGGGUAGGUUCAGGUUGUUGUAUACUAACAGGUUCUGGAGUAUCUGGAUAUAGUGGAUGAGUAGUAGGCAAAUUGAAUUUCUCACAAAGUUUUAUCCUAUUUUUUGAAAAUUCUAUUUGAGUACUCUCAUAGUCAAGUGUUCCAUACUCUGUUAGUUUGGUAGGUUUGGUUUUUAGAAGCUUGUUUAUAUGUUGGCUAAGGGGUUGGUCAUCUGAUUCUGUGGAUGAUGAAGAGGGUGAAGAGGGUAGAGAUAGAGACUGAGUAUUAGUUGGAGCUUUAGAUGGAUUACCUGAGGACUGAGCUUCUGGAUGAAUUGCUUCUGGAGCUUUUGAAGCUGGUUCUGAUGAAGUUGCUCCUGAAGCUUGCUUAUUCUUCAAGGCUUGAGAAAGCAGAGUUGCUCCAUACUGAACUGUUUCUUGCUCUAACUCAGAAGCUAAAGCAGCGAUGACAGGAGUAGGCACAUACCCUGCAGCCUUGAGACGCUCAUCCCUUUCUUUUUCAUACAACAUCUUCAUCCUUUUCUUUUCUGCUAUCUUGGAUGCAGAAACCUCCCUAGCAUACUGCCUCAUUUCUUCAGUCAUUUCAAAACUGGGCAUGACUAUGGGCUCAGAAGUUGCAGUCCUUUUUGCCUUCUUGGGGCUUGAGUCUUCAUCCCAAUUUUCUUCCAUUUCUUUCAACAUUUCUUCCCUUCUUCCUUCAGCUGUCUUCAGAUUUUUUGUUAAAUUAGACCUCUUCCUUUUGAUGGUCUGAAGAGCAGCUUCUCUUUUAUUUUUGGGACUUGAAGGCUUUUCAGAAGCAGCUUGAUCAGAAGCAGCUUGUUCAGAACCAGUUUGUUCAGAAGCAGGCUGUUCUGCUGUUUCUUGAGUACUCCUUGUCCUUUUUCUGAUAAGAGGGACAUCAUCCAAAUCCUCCACUUCCUCAAGAAUGGUGGACAUAGCAGAUUUUUCCUUCUUGGCUUUCUUAUGCUUCUGAGCAUCCACCUCAGUAGCAUCUUCAGCAAGGUAUUCUUCCUUGGUGAUCUGCUUCUUUUUAGAUUUUCUGCCUUUGGCCACAGGCAGAUCACCACCAUACAUUUCUUCUGGGAUAUCUUUCAGGCUGAUUUUCUUGUUGUAGUUCUUGUAGUAGUCUAAGAUGUAGGCCCUCUGCACAUCCAGGGGAUCUUUCUUGCAGAUAGGGAUGUGAUGAGUGACUAGAUCAGAUAUGACAUCAGAUUCAUGCAUAUCUGUAUCUAGUUUCCUGCAUGUUGAAAUCAGCCUCAUCUUGACUAAGGUUGCCCCAUUGAUUAUUUUUCCUGUGACUGCUCCCAACUUCUGAUUAUCAUAAAUACCCACGUCUUUCAGGGCACUUAGGAGUCCUCCUUCUUGAAAGAUUAUGGAGAGCAGCCUUCCAUAGGGAACAAACUUCCUGUUCUCCAUCUGGCUCUUCUUGAGUUCUUUGAUCAUGUAUUUAAACAUAUACUUAGGAACGUUCAUUGUUGUUUCCUGAGAGAUGGUGUGAUGCAGAAAGACUUUGUGACCAAGUGAAGGUUGAUCAUUUCCUCCACCUUUGGGAAAAAUGUUUUCAUUCUAGAUCUUCAGCAGCAUUUUCUUUUCCAUGCUUAAGGUGCUGUAAGGCUUAGCAUCCUUUGAUCCGUAGAUAGUGUUGUUUACUAUUUCCUUCCAAGGGCUUGUUCUGGGGUUAGGAAUCUCUUCUCCAUCGUAUGUCCCAGAAGCAUCUCUCCUCAUAGCUUGAGCAAUCACUUGCUCAUUGAUUGUUACAGGAAUCCCCAUGACGUUUGAUCUAAUCUCAGUCCCAGUGAAGGCGAGUAGACCCAUUUCUUCUCUGGUUUUUCCCUCCAAAGUAGGAUCAACCAGAAUCAUCUGAGCUUCUUCCUGUUUAGCAGCAACUUUGUCAAACACUGAAGCUCUUACCCAGAAUUGUCUGACAAGCACUUCAUAAGUAGGACCGUUGAGAAGACUGAAGUAACUCAUUAGCUUCUGCUUCUUGUAGAAUCUUACCAAGUCGCACCCAUGGUGAGUUAGAGAAGUGAAAUCCACAGGAUUUUCCGCUUGAAUGAUUAGCUCCCAUUCCUCAAUAGACAUAGUUCUUCCUUUGAUUUCAUAAGCAGGAGUAUCUAUAUCCAUAUUCGAUGAAGAACCACCGGCAGAACUUGAAGAUGCCAUUGAUUUGAAGUAGAAUUAGGGUUCUAAGGUGUUUUGAGAGGUUGAGAGAAUGUGCUUACUUACACAGAGGGUUGAGAGGAAAUAAGAAAGUGUUUGUUGUGAAGUGAGAAGUGUGUGAAAUGACUUAGUGUUUUUUAUUAAAACGUUUGUAAUUCAGAAGGGACAAACAAACACAACAUUAAUGACAAAUUGGGGGCGCGUGUAAGUAUGUUAAAAAGCGAAUAAAAACAUCAUUGCCCUUUUUGUUAUACUCCAAUACAAAUAGACCACGUCAGAGACUCUUCAGAAAACUACCUUUUGGGUAAUGGGACAGCUGUUACAUAAAGUAACUGCCAACGUUCCCACUAACCAAGCUUUUCAGAAGCAAAGAAUAACACUUCUGAAGUUUUAGUGCUGACGUCAUCUUCAGAAGCACAUUUUCCUCAGAACCUCAGUUAAGAGCUUCUGAUGAACCAAAAUGCUUCUGAAUAAACUUCAGAACCAAACUUCUUAUUCAGAGGCAAGCAAAUUUUCAAUCAGACACAAAAUGCAUGUUCAAAUUUUUCUUAAUAAAAUCAAAUCUUUCAACAGACAAAGGUUUUGUAAAUAUAUCAGCCCAUUGAUGUUCAGUAUCAAUGAAUUGUAUAUCUAAAAUUCCUUUUUGAACAUAGUCUCUGAUAAAAUGGUGUUUGAUUUCAAUAUGCUUGGCUCUUGAAUGUAGAAUUGGAUUCUUUGACAAACAAAUAGCAGCAGUAUUAUCACAAUAAAUGGGAAUACUGUUAGCAUUGAUCUGAUAGUCUUCCAACUGAUGUUUCAUCCAAAGUAGUUGUGUGCAACAACUUGCAGCUGAAAUGUACUCUGCUUCUGCUGUAGACAUAGCAAUAGUUGCUUGUCUUUUGCUUGCCCAGGAUAUCAGAUUCUCUCCCAGGAAUUGACAAUUUCCACUGGUUGAUUUUCUUUCAAUCCUAUCACCAGCAUAAUCAGCAUCACAGAAUCCAAUCAACUUAUAAUCUAGGGAUUUCCUAUACAGGAGUCCAAGAUUAGUUGUUCCUUUCAGAUACCUGAAGAUUCUCUUAACUGCAGUUAAAUGAGAUUCUCUAGGAUCUGAUUGAAAUCUUGCACACAAGCAUACACUGAAUAAAAUAUCAGGUCUAGAUGCAGUGAGGUAUAACAGAGAACCAAUCAUACCUCUGUAUAGCUUCUGGUCUACUACUGUUCCAGUAUCUUCUUUGCUUAAAGUGCAGGUUGGAUGCAUUGGAGUGUUCAUCACUUUACAAUCUUCUAGCUUGAACUUCUUCAGAAGCUCCUUUGUAUAUUUUGUUUGAUGAACAUAUACUCCUUCUUUACUUUGGUUGAUUUGAAUUCCCAGAAAGAAUUUCAAUUCUUCCAUCAUACUCAUUUCAAAUUCAUCCUGCAUUAACUUAGAAAAUUCUUUGCAAAGAGAUGCAUUAGUAGAACCAAAUAUUAUAUCAUCAACAUAUAUUUGCACAAUCAAAAUAUCUUUCUUAAGAGUCCUUCUGAAGAGUGUUGUGUCAACUUGUCCUCUUUCAAAAUCAUUUUUAAUUAAGAAAUUACUUAGUCUAUCAUACCAAGCUCUGGGAGCUUGUUUCAAGCCAUAUAGUGAUUUCUUAAGUUUAUAAACAUGGUCAGGAUGCUUAAGAUCCUCAAACCCAGGAGGUUGUUUAACAUACACUUCUUCUUCAAUGACACCAUUAAGAAAGGCACUUUUGACAUCCAUUUGAUAUAAUAUUAUGCCAUGAUUAAUUGCGUAGGAUAGAAGUAACCUGAUUGCUUCCAAUCUUGCAACUGGAGCAAAUGUUUCAGUGUAAUCAAUGCCUUCUUGUUGACUGUAGCCUUGAGCAACAAGUCUGGCUUUGUUUCUGGUUACUUCUCCUUGUUCAUUCAGCUUGUUUCUGAAUACCCAUUUUGUUCCAAUAAUGUUUUUCUGAAAAGGUUUGGGUACCAGAUCCCACACAUCAUUCCUUUGGAAUUGAUUUAGCUCUUCUUGCAUAGCUAAUAUCCAUCCAUCAUCUGUGAGAGCUUCUUCAACAGUUUUAGGCUCAAUUAUUGAAAGCAGUCCUAUUAAUGAUUCUUCUUGUCUAAAAUGUGAUCUUGUUCUUCUAGGACUAUCUUUGCUUCCAAUGAUUAGCUCCUCAGGAUGUGAAGAUUUGUGCUUGAAUUUAGGUUGAAUAACCUGCUGAGUGUUAUCUUGAAAGUCCUCAGAAGCAAUUUCAUUCUGUACUUUUGGGCUAUGUUCUGCUUCUGAAUUAGACUCAGCUUCUGGAGUGAUUUCAGUUUCUGGACUAGAUUCAACUUCUGUAUACUUUUCAGAUUCAGAAGGUUGAUCAGAUUCUGAUGCAUCUUCAGAAUCAGUUGUACCUGCAUUACUUUCACUUUGCUCUGAAGUUUUACUUUCAGGCUCUCUAUCAUCAAAUUUUACAUGCAUAGAUUCUUCAACACAUUGUGUUUCUGAAUUAUACACUCUGUAUGCCUUUGACCUUUCAGAGUAACCUAAAAAUAUUCCUCUUUGAGCCUUGACAUCAAAUUUCUUCAGAUAGUCUUUAGUGUUUAAGAUGUAACAAGUACAUCCAAACUGAUGAAAGUAAGAGAUAUUGGGUCUUCUUCCUUUAAAGAGUUCAUAUGCUAUUUUCUCCAACAUAGGUCUGAUAUAGAUCCUAUUUUGAAUAUAACAUGAAGUAUUGACUGCUUCUGCCCAAAAAUGUUUAGCUAAGUUGUUUUCAUGGAUCAUGGUUCUGGCCAUUUCUUGUAAGGUUCUGUUCUUUCUUUCUACAACCCCAUUUUGUUGUGGAGUUCUACGAGAAGAAAACUCAUGGUGAAUCCCAUGUUUUUCACAAAAAAGUUCAAAUGGCUCAUUUUCAAAUUCUCCACCAUGAUCACUUCUGACUUUCAAAAUUUUCAAUUCUUUUUCAGAUUGUAUUUGAGUGCAGAAGCUGCUAAACACUUCACAUGCAUAGUCUUUACUUUUAAUGAAUUUUACCCAAGUCCAUCUGCUGUAAUCAUCAACAAUGACUAAUCCAUAUUUACUUCCAUAUAAAGAUGCAGUGUUAACUGGACCAAAAAGAUCAAUAUGGAGUAAUUCUAAGGGUCUGGAGGUUGAUACAAUGUCUUUAGAUUUGAAAGAAUUUUUCACAAUUUUCCCUUUCUGACAUGCACCACAAAGUGCAUCUGAAUGAUAAUCAAUGUUAGGCAAUCCUUUGACCAGUUGUAACUUGCUAAUUUUAGAAAUUAAUCUCCAAUUAGCAUGUCCCAACCUUUUAUGCCAUACCCAUUUUUUAUCAUUCAUUGACAGAAGGCAAACUACCUUCUGAUCAGCCAGAUCAGAGAAAUUUAUUUUAUAGACAUUCUCAACUCUCUUUCCCUUGAAUGUAAUGGAUUUGUCAUCCUUGUUGACUAGUGUGCAGUUGGUCUUACUGAACGUUACAUCAUACCCAUUGUCACAAAAUUGACUAAUGCUCAAUAGGUUAUGCUUCAUACCAUCUACUAGCCACACAUUAUUAAUUGAGAUGGAGGAAUUACCAAUAGUACCUGUACCAAUGAUCUUUCCAGUUUGGUUGCCACCAAACUUCACUUCUCCUCCAUCUUUCAUUGUAAGGGUAAGGAACAAAGCUUUCUCUCCAGUCAUGUGCCUUGAACAUCCGCUGUCUAGGUACCAUGACCUUUGUUUCUCUCUUGCCCUUAAGCACACAUCAUUUUCAUCUUCUGAAUCUGAUUCAGCUUCUGAUACUGUUUCUGAUGAUACUGCUGCCACUAACCCAACGGCUGCCUUAGCAUCAUCAUCAGCUUCUUCUUUAUCAGAACCAGAUUCACUAUCCAAAUCUUCCCAGGUCGCCAUCAAGCUCUUUUUGAUUUGCUUUCUGAAUUUACUGGAGUUGAAGCUUGAUUUCUUGGAUUUGCCUUUAAACUUCUCCUUCUGAAGAUCAGGGCAAUCAGCAAUGAAAUGACCAGGCUUCUUACAAUUGAAGCAUCCCUUCUGAUCUUCUUUCUUGAAGUUCUUGUAGCUACCUCUCUUGCUCAAAAAUUUCUUCUGCUUCCUUGCCAGAUACUCAAGCUUGUUGGACAGCAUAGCCAUCUUUACAGAUUGAUCUUCAUCAGAAUCUCCAUCAGGUGAUUCUUCUUCAGAUUCACUGGCUUUGUAGGCUUUGGAAGACUUUGAGGUCUUUCCUUUAGAUGGUAAAGCAAUGGAUUUACUCUUCUUAGAGGUUUCAUGCUCAUUUAGACUCAUUUCAUGCACUUUGAGUGAGCUAACAAGAUCUUCAACACUUAAAGUAUUUAGAUCCUUAGCUUCCUCAAUGGCAGUUACUUUGGGUCUCCAUCUUGAAGGUAGGCUUCUCAAAAUCUUACUAACAUGAUCAGAAGAAACAUAGCUUUUCUUCAGUAUUUGCAAUCCAGAAACUAAAGUUUGAAAUCUUGAGUACAUUUCUUCUAUACUCUCAUCAUCCUUCAUUCUGAAAAGUUCAUACUGAUGAACUAGCAUCAAAGCUUUAGCCUCUUUUACUUUCUUGCUGCCUUCAAAGUUUGCACAAAGAGAAGCAAACAUAGCUUUCGCAGUAGAUUUGUCACUCAUUUUCAUGUAUUCGGUGCGAGGUAUAGAAGCCACAAUGAUUCCUCUUAUCUUGUGGUGUUUCUUAUAAAGCUUCUUCUGAGCAGGAGUAUGUAUUCUUCUGUCUAUAGCAGCUCCUUCUUCAUCCAAAUCCAGAUCAUCAACUCCAUCUUCCAGUAUAUCCCAUAGCUCUUCAUCCAAUCCCAUGAUAAAGCUGUACAUAUUAGUUUUCCACCAUGAAAACUCUUCUGGAUCUCCAUUAAACUUUGGAGCUUUUCCAGAGUCUGUUUUCUUGUCAGCAGUAUCAUAGUCAUGCUUGACACUUGUGUAUUUUGUAGUAACUGAUUCCUCAUCUCCAGACAUGUUUUUCUAAUAGAUCUUGAACUGUAACACGGUUAAGUGCUGUGAUAACAGAGCAAGCUCUGAUACCAAUUGAAGGUGAAAAACACAAGAAGGGGGGGGGGGGGGGGGGUUGAAUUGUGUUUUCUUUUUCUCUUAAAAAGGGAUUCUUCUUCUGAUAAAACUUCAGAAGCAGUUUGAUUGCUUCUGAUGAAAUGAUCAGAGUCAGAUUGCAGCGGAAAAGAACAGAGCAGAGAAAAGAAAGACAAAGACACAAGCAGUUAUCCUGGUUCCUUCCACAACACGGAAGUAGUCCAGUCCCCCUUGCACUUCCAAGGAGAUUUCACUAUAAUCACAAAGAUUACAACUGCUCAAUACUUUCUAAGUAUGAGACUUCACAAAAAUGCUCAAGCACACACGCAAGAGUCUUCCAAUGCUCAAGCACUAAGCAAGAGACUUCUAAUGCUCAAGCACGCAGGCAAGAGACUUCUAAUCAAACAAAAAUACAGAGAAUUGAGUUUGAAUUGAACACUUGAUAUACAAUCAGUGGUGUUCACAAUGCAAUACAGAAAAGACUCUAGACUUUGAAUUUCUAAGAUGUAUCAAAUCAGUGCAGAAAUUCAGUGUGCUUUGUAGAAUCAAAUUGACAGAGUUUUGGCGCUUUUGAACUUAUGUAUCUCUCUCUGUUAUCUUCAAGUCUUCACUCCUUUAUAUAGAGGCGUGAAAGAGACGUUGAGAUAAUCAGCACGUCUAAAGAGUCGUUUGAAAUCCUUUGAUUAUCCACCAGUGAUCCUUUGCCUGAUUUGGGUGUAGUCCUUUGAAGAAUAAACUUCAAAUUCAUUCCCAUCUUGAGUGUACAAUUCUGCAGGCAUGGCUGUUGUUUUGUCUUGUAGCGUAGACAGAAAACAGAGUAGUGGAGGUAGUGGUUGUACACUUGUACUUUGUCAACUCUAUUAACGAGAGACAAGAGCUCAGUGCUAUCCAUAUAUCCGUUGAUACCUCCCUUUCAAUUCUUCGUUCUUCUUUGAUAAGACUGAAUUGAAAAUCAGCUACUUUGAAUCUUCAGUUUGAUUAAAGGAUCAAAUGUAGCUUCUGGUGAAGAUAUUGCUUCUGAUGAAAACUUUUGCUUCUGAUGACUUUCUGCUUCUGAUGACGUCAUCUCUUCAGGAGCAGUUUAGCUUCAGGAGCAGUUUUCUUCAGAUGCUCAGAAUUUCUUUUUCUUUCCAUUGUUCUUCCAAGACCUAUUGAAAUAACUUGAGUAGCCUUUGGUCCUGUACACUUGAACAAUUAUUAGUAAUAACCAAUUGACAAUUUUUAAUACCUUGUUAUCAUCAAAACUUAAUAAGGUUCAUUGUGAAACACAUUUUGUUCCAACACCAUGUCUCUCUGUCACCAACCUCCAGCACCACUUCCCCAGCAAUUCUAAGUUAAAUUCCCUAAUUCUCCUCACCCUCAAACCACCAACCUCAUUAUCCAAACAAAUAGUAUUCCAAUGAAUCCAAGAAAUUUUCCUAUUAUCCUCACAUCCUCCAAAAAAAAAAAACAAAUAAAAAGAUAUUCGAUAGAGGAGCUUGUUGUUGGCGCCUUUUUGGAACUGCGGCGGAUUCUGCGCAACCUCCAACAAAGCUACCAAGGUACUCAACUUCUCUAACUCGCCCCGCAGUGUUGUCACCUCUUCACGAAGCUCGUGGAUUUCUUGCUCGAUCGUAUCCAUUUCCUUUUUAGUGUUUGCAUGAGUAUUGUAGGUGCGAGUUGGCUUAGGGUGAGGACGUCGAGCCACUUUCGAGGCAGAUUGACCUUUUGUAUGAAAGAGCAAUAUGUGAGACUCAGACCUUUGAAACUAUGAAUUCAUAAUGAUGCAUGAUUUUUAUGAAAAAAGGACAAUUUUAUUUAUUUUUGAAGGACUUUCAAAGCAUUUGUGAACAUCACAGAGAACCUUGUUUUAUUUAACAAUUUUUUAGGUUUACAAUCAGUUCCUUUUUUAGAAGCAAAAAAAAAAACGCUAGGAAAAGAAGUCCCUAACAAAAGCUAAAGUCUAGUUAAGACUUUUGAAGAUGUAUUUCUUGGUGCUCCUUUUUACAAGGUCCAUAUAUGUGAUGUUUACAAGACGACUUAUCUAAGUCCUUCGAUAUUAAUGAGAAUUUUUUUUGAAUGCAUGCAUGCAUGAUAAUGCAACAAAAACAUUGAAAACAUGGUUUAUGGUUUAGGCCCAUGGUGAUGGACUCAAGGGUAAGAGCCCCCAUAUGGUAAGGACUAUGGUUUCAUUUGUUGCUGCAUUAUGGGUUCUACCAAGUUCCCAAAGUCAUUGACCCUUUCCGGAUAUCAUUGGCUUACAAGACUGACUUCUGGUCCAACAAUAUUCGCAAGAGAAUCUAUGCAGCUCGACUGAUCUCAUUUUCUUUUUCUGGAUCUUCGAGAUGUACGUUGUGAAAUGAAUCUUAGACAUUUUCAUGAAUAAAUUUUUUUGCACUAAAUCAAUAUCCUUUUGUAAAAUAGGGCAGU